rnacentral:rRNA from 1 species
GAUGAACGCUGGCGGCGUGCCUAAUACAUGCAAGUCGAGCGAACAGACGAGGAUCUUGCUCCUCUGACGUUAGCGGCGGACGGGUGAGUAACACGUGGAUAACCUACCUAUAAGUCUGGGAUAACUUCGGGAAACCGGAGCUAAUACCGGAUAAUAUAUUGAACCGCAUGGUUCAAUAGUGAAAGACGGUUUUGCUGUCACUUAUAGAUGGAUCCGCGCCGCAUGAGCUAGUGGGUAAGGUAACGGCUUACCAAGGCAGCGAUGCGUGGCGGACCUGAGAGGGUGGUAGGGCCCCCGAGACUGGAGACGCGGUCCGGACUACUACGGGACGCAGCAGAGGGGUAUGGUAGGCAAGGGGCGGGAGCUUAGCGGAAAACAGCCGAGUGGGUGAUAGAAGUCUGGCGAUCGGGAUACUCAGCUACUUGUGAGGAAGAAUUGUGUAAGCAACGAUGGGGGUUUUGACGGUACCGAAUGAAUAAGCACCGGCUAACUACGUG